CUCAACUGCUCUUCUGGGAGGGAGAGAAAAUAAAUAGGCAGAGAGAGGCGCGUUUGAAGUAACCUUUUAAAGAAGAAGGCAGCAGCCAAUAGGACUUUUUUUUUCUUAUUUUUCACACUUCUUACUAGAGAAAUUUAUGUUAUCUCAGCAAUUAAGGAGAAGAACAAACGACUAGGGUUCCAGGCUGUGAAGGGAAGUAGCCACUUAAACCAGAACAUAGAGGAGACAGAAGCACAUCCUGCCUAUUCUGAGAGCCUGAAAUAUUCAGGAAACGUUAACGGAGGAAUGGAAGUGUUCUUCUUGAAAUGGUGUCUCCUCGCUGGAUGCCUGUAGGGAAGCGUA